rnacentral:tRNA from 1 species
CUUAUCUUAGUUUAAUUAGAAUGAAGGUCUUGGGGGCCUUUGGUCUCAAGUUUAAAGAGAGAUUUGA